UAAAGUGGCAGCCUCAGUCAAAGCUGCUCUCCAAAUCUGAAUCUUAUUAUCCAUACUCUUCUUGAAACGCUCCUCAAGCUUAGCAAAUGCGAGACCGAAACCACCUUUCUGCUCUGCAACAUCCUGAGGAUCAACGCUGUAAAAAACAGCGAUCAUUUCUAUGACUUUAUGGUCAAAUUCAUUUGCGGAAGCGCACCAUCAUCAACAGUAGUCUAUAGAAACGUUUCAGUAUUUACUUUGAGCCCAGGUGAGCAAGUGAAUAAAGCUGCUUGAGUUUGAUAAAAUCUAGAUCUCAAAAGAAAUCCUGGUUUCAUCCCUGAAAACACCUACCCUUCAAAGUCUGCCAUUCAAUUUUAAUGUUGAAAAUCUUGUUUUACUUGGUUUUUGUGAUACCAAACUGGCUUGGUAGAUCCUGGAUCUUCAAUAACCGUCACUGGCAUAAAAGUCCUACCAGAGUUUCUAGGUUCUGCAGUAGUCUAUGUAGUUGAAUUCACACACUAUAUAGAUAUCAAUAAUUUAUGUCAUGUGUAUGCAACUUCAAGACCGUUCCGGAUGAUCAUCGUGUUGUUAAUUCUGAAAGGUCUAAAUAAUGGAAACAAUGAUUUGAGCUUCACAAGAUCACAUCAUGUGUACAUUGGGUAUGAUUUUAAAUGAACAUGACUAAGUCGCAUUCAAAUUUUAUACGAAAAAGGUGUUGGCGCACACUGCUGCCAGGCGAAAAGUGGAUAAAUGCAGCGUGCAUCUAUUAAUAUGCUCAGGAUAGUAAUUGCUAUUAGCAGACAGAGGACAAGAAGCCACAGUUUGGGAACCAAGUGAUUUCAUUUUUGUGCUACUGGGAUAGCAAACACCGAGGUAAAAAUCACAUCAGCAUAAAAUUGUUACACGACCUGAUAAAUUACUGUUCAGAAUCAUAAACCUAUAAACAAAUACAUGCAACCUCUAGUCUAGUCUAAAUCAACAAAAUAUCUCCUAGCUCAACAGAAACGAGUUUUGCCUCUGGAGAGAAAAAUUAAAAAAAUAUAGAACAAGAUGAUAAUGGUCGAAACAUAAUCUUAAACGUAAUACAAAGAUUGUGUAAUAUAUAAAUAGACAAGUGAAACAAUCCAUUCAGCUGACUCCAGACAUUGCAUUAGACUUGUAUAGUUAGUUAUAUCAUAGCGAAGGAAAAAAAUUAUAUACUAAUUCCUUGCAGAACCAGAUUCAGGGAGAAAACCACUUCUCACCUCUAGAGAUUUCACCCCUAGUUUCUAUCAAAAUCGCAAUGCAUAUAUUCAGCUCAUGGUCAAGCAAAUAUCCUCUCCAAUAACCUUUAGGGAUCACCUAAUAAAUUGUCCACCCUCUGAGAAGAAAACAAAGUUUCAAACAAUCACCUGACUUUCUUUUAAUGUCUUACAUUCAAAUGCAUAAACAUAGCAAUCAUCAAAGAGGAGAACAAAAGUGAAAUCAAUUACAUCGCCGUUCAAAAAAAUGUACGUGAUUGCACAAAUAAAUAGCACAAUUAGAGAUGAGUAGUUGCAUAAAGAAACAGCAUGAUUAAACCGAGUGAACUGAAGAAAUACUAGCAGGUGAUCUAUUUACAAUUUUGCUUUUUGAAAAACAAUGCAUAUCGCUUAUGGUAGAAGCCAAAUUAGCUUACGACUUGAACAGACAAAAGGCUUUCAUCUGUUUAUGAUAAUUCUGCUGCACACCUAAGAAUAAAGCAGCAAGAAGCUGAGACCAGAUGUUGAGACCCCAGCCUAAACUUGCAAAAAAAAAAAAUCUCAUAUUUGUUCCACAAACAAUAUACAUACAAUUUCAAAUAUUAAUGUAGUAAUAUUGUGUAAGAUAAAUAAAGAAAAGAAACCUCUUAGCCAUCUCCAUUAUAGUCAUCACUGCUGUGGAAAAGAAACAACUUACAGAGAACUUGUUACUAUAGUAACACAAUCGUGCAUCGGAUUACUCUGACAUAUGAUUACUUAUUUCUUAGUUCAUCUCCUAGUUGAGAAUUUAAAAAUAUGCACUAUGUGAUAUUAAUAUUCAUAAAAAUACAAAAUCUAAUAAUGAAAGUGUUUUUUUGUAAGUUGUUAUUUCUUUGCAGUUCAAAACUAGGAAAAAGCACAAUGUAAAAGAUGAGAGGUGUAACUAUUAUCAUGUCUGUUAAAUAACCAAUCAACCCAAUAACUUGAACAGUUAGAUGAGUUUCCAAUUAUGGUUUAUUCAAACACACUCUAACCCGCAAUGCCCAUUAGACUUGAAGCGUGAACAAGUACAAAAACACCGUAUCUUAUGCUCAAAUAUUCAAUUAUUUAAUUGGGGGUUUCCAAGGCUCCAAUCAUAGAUGCUUGAUAUCAUAUCAAAUAACCAAUCUAACCAAAAAGAUUAACCUAUUAUGCGAGACUCCAACUAUGGUUUUAUUAUUUCUAAUAGAGCCCAAACAAAAAGUAAAGUUCAUUACUCAUAUGAGAAAUGAGUACAUGCAACACAUAGUGUUAGAUUACAUCUUAAAACCAAUUGGUAGGAAGUGGAGAUGUCCAACCAAUAUUUAAACACAUGUCCAUCCACACACACACACAACCAAUGUAGGAUACUCUCACUUGAACACUCACGCAUAGCGUGACCGGGCCGAGCAACCAAACCCCCCUCACGUAUUUCACGUGGGCCGGGCCAAAUUCAAAUUGUGUGAAUGGACAAAAUUCUGAUAUCAUGUUAAAUGCCAUCUUAAAACCAAUUGGUGUUAAGGAGAUGCCCAACCAAUAUUUAAACACACAUCGUUCACACACACAAUCAAUGUGGGAUACUCCCACUUCAACAGAUAGGAGGCAGCAAUAGUUCUACAUUCACUAUCGUACUUUGCUUUUAUAGAGUGACUGCAACUGAUCAAUUAAAAUCUGUGUACAAGUUAAUAAAUUCACUUUUCCAGAAUUUACAAGGAGCAUUUAAUCACAUAGACAUCGAGCAGCACAGCAGCAAAUCAGAAAGCAUGUCAAGUUCUUAUGUCAAAGAUAAGAUAAAAAGAAAAUACAAGAGAAAAGGAAAAUAAAUAGAUUUUAUCACCUUCCUAACCAAUAAAGAUUGAACAUCAAAAUAAGCAAAUGGUGACCACUGACCAGAACAAAUUAGGAAAACAACAAGAUUCAUAUUACUUAACAUAAGCUGGAAAAGUUUAUAAUCUCCAGAAAUAAUAAAUAAAUAUAUAAACGGAAGAACACACAAUCAGUCCAAAGUCAAAAUCGAUUACUCUAUUUUUUCAAUAUAGAAUUAACUGCUAAAGAAACAUACCAUUAAGAGCACUUCUCACUUCUUGGUUUUAUCAAAAACCUCAAUAUAUCUUUUAGGAACCCCAUACUGUUCAACUAGAUGUCUUGCCACAUCAUCAAUAACACCACCUUGAAUAAGAACUUCAUUCCCUUUCUUUCCUGAGAAGGUAAAAAUGAAACAGUCUCAGAAAUUGUGUAUUUGCAGGUAAAACAAAAACGAUUUGAUAAAUAUUAAAAAAGGUUUAGAUGAUGUCAACAACAUUAUCUCUCAUACUGGUCUUCCUAUUAUGUCAAAAAUAUGCCGAGUUUUUCCUCUAUACAAGGCCACAAGUCAGUUUUGAUGCUAUAUUACAAUUACUGGAGGAACUGGAACUAAGAAAAAAGUUAGGGUAAAUCUUGAUGAAGAUGAAAACAUCUCUUCAAAUAGAACUAAUGGCAUAGUCAGCAGACUCAGCACUCUAACCAUCAACUCCCAGAACUAUCAGCAACCGACUAAUCUUGGCACCAGAUUAGCUACCAUGUACCGAACUACUACUAUUUGAGUCUUAGUUAAUGCCCAUGUGCACCUGAUGCUAGAUUUACUGUUAUGCAAAAUUUCCGCCAAAUUACCAGAACUUUUGCACCUAGCAAUAUCUUGCUUUUACUAACUGGGAUUGACAUAGUAGUUUUACAUAACAACCAUAGCCCUCUUCUAAAUAAUGCAGCUUUUGUUAACAGAACAAAACUUCUAAAUACUCCAGCGUUUAUUUGAACUUCAUAAUAUGGUUACACUAAAUUUUACAUGUCUGUCAAUGUUGUAUAAAAAUAGAGAAUCUAUUUUUUCCAAACCAAAAAAGAUCUCAGAGAUUUUAUAAUGCUUACUCUCAAACUCUUUGUUUACACAGUAGUGAUAUUCUUUGUUUGUCUAUUCAUCUUUGGAUUUUUAUCUAAUGACAAAAUCAGCUUGAUGGAUGGAAAACGAUAAAUGAAAAGCAAAAUCACAUAAUAUCCAGCAUCAAAAUCACAUAAUAUCCAGCAUCAAAUAAGCAAUCUGCAUUUAAUUUAGAUCAUUCUCUCCUCAAUGCAUAAAAGGACAUUGUCCUUAUAAUCGUAUCACCAUAAGAAGGUUGGAUUAAUACGACUAAUUUUUAGUGUAAACCACCAUUAGCAAAUAAAGCAUCAAAAUCAGUGCACAAAGCAUACCUGGUAGCUCUUGCACUGAUGUACUGCAAGCAAACUUUUUCUGCAGCUCUGAUGCCAAUGCUUCAGCAUCCAUCAAGAAUUGUUCUAGACCAGAGACUUUCGUCACCUUCUUGUUACCUUGACGUCUUUCUGUUAGAAUUUGAAUUGUCUUCAAUGAACCUUUACGAAUGGCUGACUCACUUCCUCUCGUCACUAUGUAAUGAGCUUGCAUUCGGCUUACAAAUAUUGAUCCAAUAUCUUUCUUAUGGAUCUCAGUUGGGUAUGUUGAUCCUUUUUUAACCGUUCCCUUAAACAGAGCAUCACAUAAUGUUGCAUCUAAAACUACAAAGGACCUGUUUGUCGCCUUCACCAGAUUUUCUUUCUCAAAAUACUUGAAGACAAUAUCACAGGCUUCUGAAGCACUGUAAAGUUUCCCAGUAUCAGCACCAACAGAAGCAAAAAUGGGAUUGACAUGUACGCUUGGUUUAUAGAUCUCUGUCACUUCAAGCAAUUUUUUGGACCGACU